CAGCAGAACCUGACCAUGCUGGCACCCUGAUCUCAGACUUCCAGGCUCCAGAACUAGCACAGCGUGGCAGUGAGCCAGCAUCCCGGCCCUAAACCAGGGCACGCCAGUGGGUGGAGUACAGGCCUGAGUGACCGCAGCUGCUGUCACUCCCGGCAUGUCCCCUGUUCUGCCUGGCCCUGGGCACCUGACAGGCGUCACAUCGGUGGCAUCACCCACACCCCGUGGUGAUGACAACGAGGCCCACUUGGCCGAGGCCACGUGGGAGGAAUUAUUCCAACACGGAAGCCUGUGUGUGUCCUCUUAACCCUCCCUCCCAGGGAAGCCCAUGAGCACAGAAGUCAGACAACAGAGCCCCUCCCUGGUGCUGCCUCUGGAGGAUGAGGAGAGAGGAGUAGAGACUGCUCCUCUGACCCUCAGUCUCUGGAAGUCCAAAUGCCAUCUGGU